CCCAGCUGGCCCGGAGACGCCCGCACCCCGGAUCCCAGCGCCGCCGUGGCCCGGCCCUACCGGAGACACCGCUCCUCCGCUCCGGGUUCCCCGAACCCGAUUUGAAGAUGGCCCCGUGCCCUUGCCCACGUGUGUAGGCGGGUCGCGGGUCACGAGAAGGUUCCGAGACCUCCAGGGCUUGGCCGGGGCAAUCCGGAAGGGCUUCCUGAAAGAGCUGACUCACGUCUUCUCAAGUCGGUGUAUUUAAAAACAGAGUCGCUGCUGCCCUGCUGGAAAUGGAGAGCGGCUCGCACCUGUCACAAAUAGCAGCAGUUUCCGGGCCACAGUUUUCGAGCUCUCUCAUCAUACGACUGCCCCCUCUGGUAUCCAGACUGCAACACGAGACAGAAAGGCUGAGACGACUAACAACGAAAUAAAAAUUACUAGUAAUAAUUA